rnacentral:rRNA from 1 species
AUUGAACGCUGGCGGCAGGCCUAACACAUGCAAGUCGAGCGGAUGAUGGGAGCUUGCUCCUGUAUGCAGCGGCGGGCGGGUGAGUAAUGCCUAGGAAUCUGCCUGGUAGUGGGGGACAACGUUUCGAAAGGAACGCUAAUACCGCAUACGUCCUACGGGAGAAAGUAGGGGACCUUCGGGCCUUGCGCUAUCAUAUGAGCCUAGGUCGUUUUAGCUUGUUGGUGAGGUAAUGGCUCACCAAGGCGACGAUCCGUAACUGGUCUGAGAGGAUGCUCAGACACACUGGGACUGAGACACGGUCCAGAAUCCUACGGGAGGCAGCAGUGGGGAAUAUUGGACAAUGGGCGAAAGCCUGAUCCAGCCAUGCCGGGUGUGUGAAGAAGGUCUUCGGAUUGUAAAGCACUUUAAGUUGGGAGGAAGGGUUGUAGAUUAAUACUCUGCAAUUUUGACGUUACCGACAGAAUAAGCACCGGCUAACUCUGUGCCAGCAGCCGCAGUAAAAC